rnacentral:rRNA from 1 species
UACGAAGGGGGCGAGCGUUGUUCGGAUUUACUGGGCGUAAAGGGCGCGUAGGCGGCGCGAGAAGUCGAGUGUGAAAGCCCCGGGCUCAACCUGGGAAUUGCGCUCGAUACUCUUGUGCUUGAGUUCGGGAGAGGAGCGUGGAAUUCCCAGUGUAGAGGUGAAUUCGUAGAUAUUGGGAAGAACACCGGUGGCGAAGGCGGCGCUCUGGACCGAGACUGACGCUGAGGCGCGAAAGCGUGGGGAGCAAACAGG